GAUGAACGCUGGCGGCGUGCCUAACACAUGCAAGUCGAACGGAGUCGUUUUGGAAAUCUCUUCGGAGAUGGAAUUCUCGACUUAGUGGCGGCCGGGUGAGUAACGCGUGAGCAAUCUGCCUUUAAGAGGGGGAUAACAGUCGGAAACGGCUGCUAAUACCGCAUAAAGCAUUAAAUUCGCAUGUUUUUGAUGCCAAAGGAGCAAUCCGCUUUUAGAUGAGCUCGCGUCUGAUUAGCUAGUUGGCGGGGUAACGGCCCACCAAGGCGACGAUCAGUAGCCGGACUGAGGGGGUGAGCGGACACAUUGGGACUGAGACACGGCACAGACUCCUACGGGAGGCAGCAGUGGGGAAUAUUGCGCAAUGGGGGAAACCCUGACGCAGCAACGCCGCGUGAUUGAAGAAGGCCUUCGGGUUGUAAAGAUCUUUAAUCAGGGACGAAACAAAUGACGGUACCUGAAGAAUAAGCUCCGGCUAACUACGUG
rnacentral:rRNA from 1 species